GUAGGAACGUACCCCAAAGUGAGGGAUAAGCACCAGAAAUGGUGUCUAAUACCGCAUGUGCUCUAAGGAGUAAAGCUCCGGCGCUUUGGGAACGGCCUGCGCAUGAUUAGCUAGAUGGUGAGGUAAUGGCUCACCAUGGCGACGAUCAUUAGCUGGUCUGAGAGGAUGAUCAGCCAGACUGGGACUGAGACACGGCCCAGACUCCUACGGGAGGCAGCAGUAGGGAAUUUUCCACAAUGGGCGAAAGCCUGAUGGAGCAACGCCGCGUGCAGGAUGAAGGCCUUCGGGUUGUAAACUGCUUUUAUAUGUGACGAAUAUGACGGUAACAUAUGAAUAAGGAUCGGCUAACUCCGUGCCAGCAGCCGCGGUCAUACGGAGGAUCCAAGCGUUAUCCGGAAUUACUGGGCGUAAAGAGUUGCGUAGGCGGCAUAGUAAGCAGAUAGUGAAAGCGUGUGGCUCAACCAUACUCACAUUAUCUGAACUGCUAAGCUAGAGGACGAGAGAGGUCACUGGAAUUCCUAGUGUAGGAGUGAAAUCCGUAGAUAUUAGGAGGAACACCAAUGGCGUAGGCAGGU
rnacentral:rRNA from 1 species